UUCCCUCUCAGCAGCUCUCUGCUUCAUAGCUUUACUUCAUGUCUAAACCCUGUAAAGUUCCAUUUAAACGUCGGCUGCUCUGAUAAAAAGGGUGGAAGGAGACAGAAAAUGCUUCCAGCAUAAUUUCCAAGCCUGAACUUUCUACAGGACAGACAAACAUCACAGCUGAACCUGGACAUAACGUCUCUCUUCCAUGUAGAGCUGGACAUGAUGGAGACAUCGCAUCUGUACACUGGAUCAGACCUGAUCUGAAGCCAGAAGAUGUUCUUUUCUGCAGAGAUGGACGUUGUUAUCACUCCCACCAGCAUCCAUCUUUCCAGAACCGGGUGGAUCUUCAGGACAGACAGAUGAAGGAUGGAGACGUGUCUCUGAUUCUGAAGAACCUGACAAUUAAUGAUACAGGAACAUAUGAAUGUAGAGUCCAGAGAGAGACAGACGGGGACAACAUGUCCAUCCAUCUGGAAGUUUCUCCUCCAGGUACAACACAGGAUAGAAGGAACCAGGAUAGAGGAGACAAGGAUGGAGGAGAGAAGGAUGGAAGGAACCAGAAUAAAGGACAUCUUGGACUGGUUGUGGGUCUGUCAGCUGUUGGGAUCGUUGGGAUCAUUGGGAUGGUUGUUGGUGUCUGGUUCUAUAAAAGACAUGAGAAGAAGAACUCGGCUCCUCCUCCUGACCUGCUCUGACUUGAAGCAGUGAAUAAUGAUUGUGUCUCAUCAUCAUCAUCAUCAUCAUCAUCAUCAGGUCUGCAGCAUGGUUCUCUAUCAUGGAGACGAUGAAACAUCGAUCCUCACCAACAUCUUCUAUUGAAGACUCUGUGAGGGACACAGCUGUUGUUUACUGUUUAGAAGGACACUGUUACUGAAAGUGUCCCUCUGGGACUGAGUUCAGUUAUCACAUCAAAGGACCUUUUUACCCUCCUGCUGUGGUCGGUCAACGUGAAACCUGACUAAGCUAACAGCUCCCAGGUGGUGACGGGGUAUGAAGAACGUGUCCUGAACUGGAAGCCAGUUCAGCAUCGUCUGUCGACCUUUGUGUUCAAACUCUGUGUGAACUGCAGAUGCAGUAAAUUUUGGUCUUCACCGAUCUGAGAGUCAGUCACAAACGUGUUUGUAGACCACAAACGGUUUUCCUCUUAGAUCGGUGAAAACCAGUCUCUCGUAGGUUAAAGGAUUUUGCAGGUAAACAUAAAAAGACUAUAAAAGGUGAAGAGACAGGAGCACCAUGUGUAAACAGUUUCAUUUCUAAAGUGGAAACCUGGUUAUAAAUAAUCACACGGUGAUGCAGAUCAUAGAAAAGCAGUUUUAUUUACAAGUGUUAACUCCUCCUGAAAUGUUCCAGAAACAACGUGAAGGUUCAGGACCAUGUGACCCACCUCCCUCCAUCAUAUUUAUUUAUUGAGAACUUUAUAAAUAAAGGUUAAAAUGAAGUCUGGACCAAAAUGAUGUAAAACAUUCAUUAUCUGUCCAUUACGGGUCGCUGGGAAGCUGGAGCCUAAACCAGCAUUUGGAACUAUUCUGAUCCUAAUCUUGUAAUUAAUACCAGCGAUUAUUUCGUUGAUAAAAAAAAGAGUUACUCCUGAUUGGAUUCUAAAUAAAUAGAACAAAAUAGAAUAAAAUUAAAUAAAAUAGAACAGAAUAAGGAGUCCUUUGAACGGCUCUUUUUAAAGCUCCUUCAAACAGCCAUAAAUCCAGACGUGUUGGAAGCGUCAUGGUUGUUUUAAUUGUGGAGAUUUGUAAGAUUUUGUGAACCCAACAGGCUCAGAUACACAACUGACAAGAAACUGGUCGGUGAGUUAGUUAAAUCACACCAUGUAUGUGUGUGUGUGUGUGUGUGUGUGUGUGUGUGUGUUAGAGAGGUUAGGAUCAGGUGUGUUUUCUCUUUUAUGUCUCCUGUUUAUUUCAGUAUAAACUGACUGAAGGUGUUUUCCUUCAUCAUCCUGAUGGACAGGACACGUCCACAGCGUCUCUCCUCCUCCAGUCUAGUUUAGUGAAUGUGACAUGGUCUCUAAUAUCAGCUGGGAUGCUCCACGUUCCCGUUUCUCUGGUAGCAGGUGUAGAUGGAACGCUGUGCAUCUAAAAGGUUCUACAGUCGCCUCUAACAGAGGCUCUGCUUGCUUUACUACUUAUACUGGAUUUCAGCUCGACGGGUACAUGAAAGGAUGGAGAAGGUCCAUGAAAACACACCAGUUUAAACCUUUUAUAUUCUCAUGAUGUAGAAUAUUCCAUGUGUGAAUUUCACUUCUUGUAAAUCAGCUGUUUGUGCUGCAGGAAGCAGGAGUUUCCUGGGUCCAGAGAAAGAUCCCGUCUCAGAGCGGCCUGACUGAAACCUGCUGGCGGUGUUUCAUCACAACCAGCCUGUACCAGUGUUGUUGAUGGUUCAUGACUAGAGGGAGGAGACUGCUGUGGGCCAUAACCAUGGCAGCAGGCUGUCAGUGACUUACAGUCCAGUUUUAAACUGGAUUCUGUAACUUCUUACAGGAAAUAUAUAUCCAAUAAAUAAAAUUUAGAUCCCAUUUCAUUUCAUA